rfam:Verrucomicrobiaceae bacterium TMED76 70615, whole genome shotgun sequence.
GUCCAGGGUCUAUGGACUGUUGACUGACGAAUCCGCCAGGGCCUGACGGCAGCAACGGUAGUUUGUUCAAUGGUGCCGUAGUUCUCUGGCAGCC